rnacentral:rRNA from 1 species
AACGAACGCUGGCGGCAUGCCUAACACAUGCAAGUCGAACGAGACCUUCGGGCCUAGUGGCGCACGGGUGGGUAACGCGUGGGAACCUGCCCUUAGGUUCGGAAUAACUCCCCGAAAGGGGUGCUAAUACCGGAUAAUGUCUUCGGACCAAAGAUUUAUCGCCUUUGGAUGGGCCCGCGUUGGAUUAGCUAGUUGGUAGGGUAAAAGCCUACCAAGGCGACGAUCCAUAGCUGGUCUGAGAGGAUGAUCAGCCACACUGGGACUGAGACACGGCCCAGACUCCUACGGGAGGCAGCAGUGGGGAACAUUGGACAAUGGGCGAAAGCCUGAUCCAGCAAUGCCGCGUGAGUGAUGAAGGCCUUAGGGUUGUAAAGCUCUUUUACCCGGGAUGAUAAUGACGGUACCGGGAGAAUAAGCUCCGGCUAACUCCGUG